rnacentral:rRNA from 1 species
GGUUAAGUUAGAAAGGGCGCACGGUGGAUGCCUUGACACUAGGAGUCGAUGAAGGACGGGACUAACGCCGAUAUGCUUCGGGGAGCUGUAAGUAAGCUUUGAUCCGAAGAUUUCCGAAUGGGGAAACCCACCAUACGUAAUGGUAUGGUAUCCUUAUCUGAAUACAUAGGGUAAGGAAGACAGACCCAGGGAACUGAAACAUCUAAGUACCUGGAGGAAGAGAAAGCAAAUGCGAUUUCCUGAGUAGCGGCGAGCGAAACGGAACAUAGCCCAAACCAAGAGGCUUGCCUCUUGGGGUUGUAGGACAUUCUAUACGGAGUUACAAAGGAACGAGGUAGACGAAGCGACCUGGAAAGGUCCGUCGUAGAGGGUAACAACCCCGUAGUCGAAACUUCGUUCUCUCUUGAAUGUAUCCUGAGUACGGCGGAACACGUGAAAUUCCGUCGGAAUCUGGGAGGACCAUCUCCCAAGGCUAAAUACUCCCUAGUGAUCGAUAGUGAACCAGUACCGUGAGGGAAAGGUGAAAAGCACCCCGGAAGGGGAGUGAAAGAGAUCCUGAAACCGUGUGCCUACAAAUAGUCAGAGCCCGUUAACGGGUGAUGGCGUGCCUUUUGUAGAAUGAACCGGCGAGUUACGAUCCCGUGCGAGGUUAAGCUGAAGAGGCGGAGCCGCAGCGAAAGCGAGUCUGAAUAGGGCGUUUAGUACGUGGUCGUAGACCCGAAACCAGGUGAUCUACCCAUGUCCAGGGUGAAGUUCAGGUAACACUGAAUGGAGGCCCGAACCCACGCACGUUGAAAAGUGCGGGGAUGAGGUGUGGGUAGCGGAGAAAUUCCAAUCGAACCUGGAGAUAGCUGGUUCUCCCCGAAAUAGCUUUAGGGCUAGCCUUAAGUGUAAGAGUCUUGGAGGUAGAGCACUGAUUGGACUAGGGGUCCUCAUCGGAUUACCGAAUUCAGUCAAACUCCGAAUGCCAAUGACUUAUCCUUAGGAGUCAGACUGCGAGUGAUAAGAUCCGUAGUCAAAAGGGAAACAGCCCAGACCGCCAGCUAAGGUCCCAAAGUGUGUAUUAAGUGGAAAAGGAUGUGGAGUUGCUUAGACAACUAGGAUGUUGGCUUAGAAGCAGCCACCAUUUAAAGAGUGCGUAAUAGCUCACUAGUCGAGUGACUCUGCGCCGAAAAUGUACCGGGGCUAAAUACACCACCGAAGCUGCGGAUUGAUACCGAAUGGUAUCAGUGGUAGGGGGAGCGUUCUAAGGACAGUGAAGUCAGACCGGAAGGACUGGUGGAGUGCUUAGAAGUGAGAAUGCCGGUAUGAGUAGCGAAAGACGGGUGAGAAUCCCGUCCACCGAAUGCCUAAGGUUUCCUGAGGAAGGCUCGUCCGCUCAGGGUUAGUCAGGACCUAAGCCGAGGCCGACAGGCGUAGGCGAUGGACAACAGGUUGAUAUUCCUGUACCACCUCUUUAUCGUUUGAGCAAUGGAGGGACGCAGAAGGAUAGAAGAAGCGUGCGAUUGGUUGUGCACGUCCAAGCAGUUAGGCUGAUAAGUAGGCAAAUCCGCUUAUCGUAAAGGCUGAGCUGUGAUGGGGAAGCUCCUUAUGGAGCGAAGUCUUUGAUUCCCCGCUGCCAAGAAAAGCUUCUAGCGAGAUAAAAGGUGCCUGUACCGCAAACCGACACAGGUAGGCGAGGAGAGAAUCCUAAGGUGUGCGAGAGAACUCUGGUUAAGGAACUCGGCAAAAUGACCCCGUAACUUCGGGAGAAGGGGUGCUUUCUUAACGGAAAGCCGCAGUGAAUAGGCCCAAGCGACUGUUUAGCAAAAACACAGCUCUCUGCGAAGCCGUAAGGCGAAGUAUAGGGGGGUGACACCUGCCCGGUGCUGGAAGGUUAAGGAGAGGGGUUAGCGUAAGCGAAGCUCUGAACUGAAGCCCCAGUAAACGGCGGCCGUAACUAUAACGGUCCUAAGGUAGCGAAAUUCCUUGUCGGGUAAGUUCCGACCCGCACGAAAGGUGUAACGAUUUGGGCACUGUCUCAACCAGAGACUCGGUGAAAUUAUAGUACCUGUGAAGAUGCAGGUUACCCGCGACAGGACGGAAAGACCCCGUGGAGCUUUACUGUAGCCUGAUAUUGAAUUUUGGUACAGUUUGUACAGGAUAGGCGGGAGCCUUUGAAACCGGAGCGCUAGCUUCGGUGGAGGCGCUGGUGGGAUACCGCCCUGACUGUAUUGAAAUUCUAACCUACGGGUCUUAUCGACCCGGGAGACAGUGUCAGGUGGGCAGUUUGACUGGGGCGGUCGCCUCCUAAAGUGUAACGGAGGCGCCCAAAGGUUCCCUCAGAAUGGUUGGAAAUCAUUCGUAGAGUGCAAAGGCAUAAGGGAGCUUGACUGCGAGACCUACAAGUCGAGCAGGGACGAAAGUCGGGCUUAGUGAUCCGGUGGUUCCGCAUGGAAGGGCCAUCGCUCAACGGAUAAAAGCUACCCCGGGGAUAACAGGCUUAUCUCCCCCAAGAGUCCACAUCGACGGGGAGGUUUGGCACCUCGAUGUCGGCUCAUCGCAUCCUGGGGCUGUAGUCGGUCCCAAGGGUUGGGCUGUUCGCCCAUUAAAGCGGUACGCGAGCUGGGUUCAGAACGUCGUGAGACAGUUCGGUCCCUAUCCGUCGUGGGCGUAGGAAAUUUGAGAGGAGCUGUCCUUAGUACGAGAGGACCGGGAUGGACGCACCGCUGGUGUACCAGUUGUUCUGCCAAGGGCAUAGCUGGGUAGCUAUGUGCGGAAGGGAUAAGUGCUGAAAGCAUCUAAGCAUGAAGCCCCCCUCAAGAUGAGAUUUCCCAUAGCGUAAGCUAGUAAGAUCCCUGAAAGAUGAUCAGGUUGAUAGGUUCGAGGUGGAAGCAUGGUGACAUGUGGAGCUGACGAAUACUAAUAGAUCGAGGACUUAACCAU